rnacentral:tRNA from 1 species
GCGGUUGUAGCUCAGUUGGUUAGAGCGUUGGAUUGUGGCUCCAGAGGUCGGUGGUUCGAACCCACUCAACCGUACCA